rnacentral:rRNA from 1 species
CAGUCGCCGCGGGAAUACGUAGGGCGCUAGCGUUGUCCGGAAUUAUUGGGCGUAAAGAGCUCGUAGGCGGUCUGUCGCGUCUGGUGUGAAAUCCCGAGGCUCAACCUCGGGCUUGCAUCGGGUACGGGCAGACUAGAGUGCGGUAGGGGAGACUGGAAUUCCUGGUGUAGCGGUGGAAUGCGCAGAUAUCAGGAGGAACACCGAUGGCGAAGGCAGGUCUCUGGGCCGCAACUGACGCUGAGGAGCGAAAGCAUGGGGAGCGAACAGGAUUAGAUACCCCAGUAGUCCCUGUCUCUUAUAC